rnacentral:rRNA from 1 species
UACGGAGGGUGCAAGCGUUAUCCGGAUUCACUGGGUUUAAAGGGUGCGUAGGUGGGUUGGUAAGUCAGUGGUGAAAUCUCCAGGCUUAACUUGGAAACUGCCGUUGAUACUAUCUGUCUUGAAUGUUGUGGAGGUGAGCGGAAUAUGUCAUGUAGCGGUGAAAUGCUUAGAUAUGACAUAGAACACCAAUUGCGAAGGCAGCUCACUACACAAUUAUUGACUCUGAGGCACGAAAGCGUGGGGAUCAAACAGG